rnacentral:lncRNA from 1 species
GGCCUCCCCAACCAUGCAUCCUGCACAGCUUGUGGAACUAGACUCAACUGUGUGGGUUAAGACUUGGCCAUGGCACACCAAGGAUACCCCGUCUCUGCUCUGCAAUGUCUGAGGAUUCAGCUGGAAGACUUGAGAACUGGAGGAUGGGAUCAACUGAAGGCUCAUUAAUUCACUCAUCUAUCCUGGUUCCAGAAGCAGAUGGGCAGACAAGGAGACAAGCAGAGGAAUGUCAAAAUGCUGCGGCAGAAAGAGAGAAGAGGAGGAAUGUCUCAACACUAAGAGUUUAGCCCGGGGCGGUUCAGCUGCCGGAAGGCCAAACUCCAGGAGAAGCCCAUCUUCCUACUCCGUCCUCCCUUCAGGUUCUCCAUCCAUCCUGCUGAGAGCCACCUCCGCCAUUCAGUAAGACCCCCACAUUUAUCCUUCAAGUGCAUGUGUGACCCAGUUCUUCCAGGAUGCUGGACAAGAGCUUGGGAUACAUAAAGCUGUCACACUGGCCCUCUGCCCUUGCUCGCUAACACUCAAGCCAUUCGCAGACGGCUAAAAGAGCACAUUGUAACACGUGCCCACUUGGACUCCUGCACCUGCCCAUCUGCAUGCUUUCCAUCCUGUAAGGGGUUUGAGUGGUGUCAGCAAUCUAACAGACAAGCCACACCCUUGUUUCACGUCCUGUGAGAGGGGUCAGGGAACUCUUCUGUUUCAUCAUUACCCAACUUUGGAACUCAAGAAAGGACUCACAGGGAAAUUCUUGCAGAAUCUCGUGGAAAAUCUCACAUGUAUUUGUGAAAAUACAAUGUGGAUCUGUGAGAUCCCACUUCAACACAGGCCACGGGGCCACCUUCUGCACCCACAUGGGUUGUUUUAAGUCUUCCUUAGUCUCCUUGAGAAUAACAUGAUGCUAUGAUGUUGGCAGGAAUCUUCCACACCUUCCAAAACAUGACAAUAUGGGUCAAGCCCGUGCAGAGACUGUGGCUCCUGCUUUGGGAGUCACCUGGAAUUGUUGAGAGAUUAGCAAAUCCCAGAACCAGGUUUGUUAGAAUUAACUGCUCAACCAGAUUGUAUUGAAAAUGGUCUGAAGUCAAAGACGACAGACGCAAACGGGCUAAAUUGCUCAGUUAAUUCUUCCAUUUCUCUUCCUCCUAGUUGUUCUAGCUUCAGGGAGGACUCAGGAGAGUACUGUUUGAAAACCACUGAUCUAGUUUACACUUUCAUUUUACAGAGAGGAAACUGAGAGCCACAGAGAUUCAAGUGACUCAUCCAAGAUGACCCAAACCCUGGGGUUUGUUAUUGUUUUUCACACUAUGCAAAGCACUAAAAAACAUUCGUUUGAAACAGGUGAACAAAAGUCUAAUUUGUAGUGAGGUCUAGGGGAAUGACUGUCCAGUCAAUUCCUCAAUUCAUGAAGGAGCAUUUGGGACGCCACAGAGGAACAUACACAGGUAUCCCUCCUCCUACCCGACACCAUUCAGGAAGAGCGGUUACCCCUCCAAUGCACUGAAGCAGAUUCAUUUCCCUCAGGACUGUGGGAGGCGACUGAGGCUGAGUGAAUGAUACAGCCUUUUAAUUUGUUUUUAAUUGUCGUGUCCUGGUAACCCUUCCAAAGACCCUUCACGGAGAGUAGUUUUAUUUUUCCACUUAUUAACCGCAUUCACUAGACUGGAAAAAGAAUUCCCUAUCUCCCAAGAACUCUCCCUUUCAUUCUUGUAAUUCCUUUUUUUUUUUUUUUUUUUUUAGCACCAGGAAAGUAAUGUGUGUAAAACUAGAGCCAAGUAUAUUGUGGUUUCAAAUACAAGCCUGUUUGGAGCAGA